rnacentral:misc_RNA from 1 species
CGCACAUUGCGCCCUUUGGUAUUCCGAGGGGCAUGCCUGUUCGAGCGUCAUUUCAACCAUCAAGCCUAGCUUGGUAUUAGACCCGGCCUUGGGGCCAGUCCGCAACUAGUUGGCGGUACCGUCCGGCCUCGAGCGUAGCAGAAACCUCGCUUCUGGGUUGAUACGGCGUCUGCCGGUGAAGCCAUUCUCUGAAGUUUGACCUCGGAUCAGGUAGGGAUACCCGCUGAACUUAA